rnacentral:rRNA from 1 species
GACGAACGCUGGCGGCGUGCUUAACACAUGCAAGUCGAACGGUGACGAGGAGCUUGCUCCUCCGAUCAGUGGCGAACGGGUGAGUAACACGUGAGUAACCUGCCCCAGACUCUGGAAUAACAGUUGGAAACAGCUGCUAAUACCGGAUACGAGACGGAGAGGCAUCUCUACCGUCUGGAAAGUUUUUCGGUCUGGGAUGGACUCGCGGCCUAUCAGCUUGUUGGUGAGGUAAUGGCUCACCAAGGCGACGACGGGUAGCCGGCCUGAGAGGGGAACCGGCCACACUGGGACUGAGACACGGCCCAGACUCCUACGGGAGGCAGCAGUGGGGAAUAUUGCACAAUGGGCGCAAGCCUGAUGCAGCAACGCCGCGUGAGGGAUGACGGCCUUCGGGUUGUAAACCUCUUUCAGUAGGGAAGAAGCGAAAGUGACGGUACCUACAGAAGAAGCACCGGCUAACUACGUGCCAGCCGCCGCCGUAACAC